AAAAAAUAAAAAUUUUAAAAAUUUAAAAUUAAAAAAAUGAAAUGAAAAGUUUAUUCCAUCCAGAUUCUUGUUGCUGUUGUUACAAGGGAAUCACUUUAAAAGACUGAUAUAUAUUAAUUUAAGGUCGCCAAGGAAUCAGCUAUGUAAUUCCUAAAUGAAAAACUCAAGUCAGCCGUCAGCCUUUUUUGGAGUUUAAUUACAAUAGGAGCAAGAAAGGAAUUAGAGAUAUAUAUAGAGAGAGAAAGGGGAGAGAAGGGAAUAGGGCUUAAAUACCCCUUCUGUUUAGGCUGGGCCAAAAGGCCCAAGCCCUUAGAUAGCUGGGGCAAAGAAAAGAGAUCAGUCCCUAUUACUCACGUGUCCAAAAUGGAGAAACAGUCUCAGAGGCCCCCACCUUCAGCUUCCUUCAGAGCAAGCUUCCUCAGAGCCCAGGAACAACACCGACCCAAAAAAAAACUCAAUCCUCUCCCCCGAGUCUCCAGACCCUCCUAUCUUUAAGGACACCAUCCAAGUUGCCUCCCCUCAGUCCUCACAUCUACCAAUCACUCUUCAUCAAUUUCCCUGUCAAUGGAGGCUCUCGCUUAACCCAGGACCGCCCAGAGGUUUCUGGCUUUUGCACAUGUCUGUUGAAGGUCAUAUUUUUCAAAUGAUUAAAUCUUUACUCCUUUGUUCCAGCCCUUUCUAAAUCCUGUUAACUUGAGUAUGGUAGAGAUUGGAAUAAUUAAAUUUUGAUCUAGGCUGCAGCCCUUACUCAAUCCUAUUAGGACUGAAUAGGGUGGAGUAUAUCCAUUGUAUCAAUUCUAAAAUCAAUCAAGACUCAAAGAAAUUCCUGUUCUAUGCUCAAGCAUAGGUCAAAGUCCUUUCCAUUGUUUAGCAAAAGGUUUUCUGUCCUAAAGUAAUCUUAAGAAGGGAAGAGAAGGAACCUCCCAUGCCAAUGGAGUUCCCAUUCCAAUAGACUAUCAGUAAGAAAUUUUCCAAGUAUGAAAUAUCCCAAUGGUGAAAUUUCCAACAUUUAUAAGUCUAAGGAAAUUUGAGGUUUACAAUCCCCCCUGAUGAUCAUUGGGAGACUAGUCUCCCCAUUGAUCAUUUAACAUAAUCAUUUUGUAGUUCUAAAUUCACUUCUAACUAAAGAUAUACACAAUAUUCAAUUUUCUAAGAGAAAUUAGAAUAGUGAGAGAGGAAAUAGAAAAGAAAAGAAAGCAAAACCAAUGUUUGCUAGGCGCAUUGACAGAAAGCCAAAUUAGGGGCAGUCCCAUUUGGCAUAAAUGUUACAAUAAAUGUUCAAUCAAAAGUUCA
rnacentral:lncRNA from 1 species